GGUGGCCUAGUGAUUAGAGCGUCCGCCUCAGAUGUGGGAGGUCGUGGUUUCGAUCCCCGGCUGAGUCA